GUCUACGGCCAUGCUACCCUGAACAAACCCGAUCCCAUCUGAUCUCGGAAGCUAAGCAGGGUCGGGCCUGGUUAGUACUUGGAUGGGAGACCACCUAGGAAGACCAGGUGCUGUAGGCA
rnacentral:rRNA from 1 species